UACAGAGGGGGCAAGCGUUGUUCGGAAUUACUGGGCGUAAAGGGCGCGUAGGUGGCCUUCUAAGUUGAACGUGAAAUCCCUGGGCUCAACCCAGGAACUGCGUCCAAGACUGGGAGGCUUGAAUCCGGGAGAGGGAUGCGGAAUUCCAGGUGUAGCGGUGAAAUGCGCAGAUAUCAGGAAGAACACCCGUGGCUAAGGCGGUUCUCUAGUACGGUACUGACGCUGAGACGCGAAAGCGUGGGGAGCGAACAGG
rnacentral:rRNA from 1 species